UUGACCGAUUUAUGUCAUAAUAUAAAAUUGUCAAACGUCAAAAUAUAAAUUAGCCGUUAUUAUGAUAUUCUACCGUUUACAAAUAAUAAUUAUAUUUACGAUAUUUACGAAUAUUUUCCUCCAUUAUUGCAUUCAAGAAUAUUCAAAGUUUGCACUAGUCAUGCGCACGAAUGAACAUCCUUAUUUCCUCGCAAAUUCAAGCAGAAACGCAACGUUACGAUGGCCCGACGAGAUGAUGCACGAACGUAAAGUGCAGCCGAGGGAAUACGCGCUGCGCGAGGAUAAUUUGCCAUGGCUACAAGACGAUUAUGAUAAUGUCGUCGACGUCGUGAAUAAAUCACAAUCGCAAGUCGUCCUAUAUCUGCGCCAAGAUUUUCAAGAUUCUACCAGAUACAAUCAUCGACGGGCACGGCGAUUGCUUAUAGCAAUUCCACGUUAAUCGAACUACACGUUUUACUUAUUGGUAUGGCAAUAGUUCUGUUCAUUGCAUAAAAACUUGGAAAUAAAUUGAGUAAUUUAUUUUUUUU